rnacentral:tRNA from 1 species
GCGAUCGUCGUCCAGUCUGGUCUAGGACACCAGCCUUCCAAGCUGGUAACCCGGGUUCAAAUCCCGGCGAUCGCACCA